UACGUAGGGUGCAAGCGUUAAUCGGAAUUACUGGGCGUAAAGCGUGCGCAGGCGGUGAUGUAAGACAGUUGUGAAAUCCCCCGGGCUUAACCUGGGAACUGCGUUUGAAACUACAAGGCUAGAGUGUGACAGAGGGGGGUGGAAUUCCACGUGUAGCAGUGAAAUGCGUAGAUAUGCGGAGGAACACCGAUGGCGAAGGCAAUCCCCUGGGCCUGCACUGACGCUCAUGCACGAAAGCGUGGGGAGCAAACAGG
rnacentral:rRNA from 1 species